AUGGGAGCUCCAUAGAGGUCCAAGAGCCCACCUCGUGAAGGAAGGCGGGUCACGGGACCCCAGGAGGUUAUAAGGAAUACGAGUUAGGCAAGUAAGACAUUCUUUGUUCACAGCACACAGGUUGCUAAACCGGAUGCUGGCAGACACCUGGGCACACGCCUGCAUAAACGGGCUAUACACAGUGGGCACAGGCACUCAUGCUGGCUGGCGCAUAGGUGAGCACACACAGCCCUACACAGACCAGCAAAUGCAAAAAGUGAAAGCGAAGGUGAAGCCUUCUGACCUCAAGGACGUAUUCACACGGAAUCCCACAAAAGCAGCACUUUAGCAGGAAUGGGUAUAUAGCAGAUUACAUCACUGUUUGCUUUGGGGUCCUCCAGACACACGAGGUCAGUCAUUUUGCACUCACCUAUAGGUGCACUCCCAAGGUGCCUAGCGUCUGCCGUCUUGGCCCACUGCAGAUAAGCCAAUCAGUGCUAUGCUGUCUAACAUAGUCUGGCUUUACUAUCCAUUCCUCUGUUCCCUUCAGAUAGUGAAGAGGGUGAUGCUCUUCACGUGAGCUUCAGAAGAGGAAGCUGUCGGUGCACAGGAAGGGUCAACGGGAUUUCCGCAAGGGAUGAUGGGGCUUCUUCCACUAGAGAGUAAGCUUCCUCCAUGAGGCUUCUCCUUGCUCCCCUGGCAGGACUCCUGCAUGAACAAGGAUUAUACAAAUUCCCACUUCCAGACCACUUGUGGCAAUGAAAUGAGAUGCCUGGGUACUUUGUCCUUUUGGUCCCCUCCCCCUGUGCAUGUCCUCCUGUGAUUAUCAUCUCUAGAUUGUGCCAUAUCCUUUUGCACGAACGCACGCACGCACGCACGGACGCACGCACAGCACACGUAUGGCUGUCAUGACCAUAGUGAGUUAGAAGGAAAUGAAUUUUGCUUCUGAACUUUGAGAUAGAACUUCCCCUUGCCUCUGUUAAUCCCCAAGAUGAGAGGAGAAAAGCCUCCUCCCCAAAUCGUCUUGGCAAACUUCAUGUGUGUACAUGGCCCGCCUCCCCCUGAGGUGGGGUUGGAAAGGCCAACCUUGGAUGUGAGCAGGAAGUGUUUUUAAAGCUCAGGGGUAGGGGGAUUCCAAAAGAGAUAAAAGCCAGGUUACAGGAGCAAAAUAUAACAGUUGACCAAAACAAGGAAACCACAACGGGUAGUCACAGCAAGUUAGUCACAGAGGGGCGGGGUCUUAGAACCUUCGAAACAAAGGCAGGGUCGCAAGGUGGUUAGAAAUAAUGAGACAAAGAAAUUAUUGCCAUUCCUGGAGAAACAGGUUUAAUCAUAAACAGGAGUGAGCUGAGCUUGUCUUUACUAUAGGGUGGCUUUUAAGCCUAAAAUGGAGGCUGGUUGGUUCUUCACGUCCACUAAUGAAGAGCAUGAUUCCAGGCCCCUUCCCGACAACCCUUUCGCCGGCAUCACCAGUGAGAGACAGGACACACGGACUCAGCCCCUGCUCUUGUUUCCGCUUUGGUAAACUCAGAAGUUCAGGCAAAAUGGAAGGAAGCAGUCGGUCCAAGGAAAACACAGGCCGCCAACCAAGAGGGCCCCGAGUGACUGGAACGAAGAGCAGGCCACAGUUUACUGUGAGACCCUCCUUCACAGGGGUGGGGAGAGUGGCCAGGACGAAACCACAACAAAUGAGAGGAACUGAAACAGAUGCCCUUUCAAAGCUCUCAUCAAAAAUCUAAUGAGCCGCGCUCUGUGGACGCGAUGGUGCUUUACUGACUAAAAGGCAGUUCUUCAUGAUGUCUAGCUCAGAGCCAGAUCUCUCUUUUCCACACACGGCCAAGAGAAGCGCUGCUAUCUUUGCCACCACUGAUGUUUUUCUUUGAUUGUCUUUUUUUUUUUUAUAAUAGAUCCAAAAGGGACAGACAUCCGAUUUCAUCCUCCCCUGAUAUAUAGAACUUACAGAGGCUUUUAGAAGAUACAACAAACAGAUUAUAUGUAAAUCAAUAACAAUUUUUCUUUUGUCGCUCAAACCAUGAAUACCAAGUAGCUAGGUUUCAUGCUAUCCCAAUAAGAAUAUCUUUUUGCCAGAUCCCUAACUUUCCAUCACAUCGGCAUGCCACAGCUGAGACAGCUAAGCGCGGUGCAAUUAGUCAGACAAAAUGGAGGACCACGCAAGGCUUCGCCCACUCUCCUGCAAACCAGAUGGAUGCAUCUGGCAUUCGGGGCUGAUGAUAAGUUAUCCCUGAUAAGGACCAUUUGUACCGUAAUAGCACUGUCUAUGCCUCAAGCCCUGGAGACCAAGCAUACGCUACGCACUCGACAGUAAACCCACGGGAGUACUUCGGAGCAUUUUUAAAAUUCCAAGGGAAACACAGAGGCAUCUGUCAGACCGUGCACAAAUUACUACUAUUAAGUUAUCUGGAUUUACCUACUUAAUAAGCACAACUGUUAGAAAUUCCUCUUGGCUGAGAGCGGCCAUGGGGACCAGAGUAAAUGUUCUGUGAACAGAAAGUUUGGAGACUUAAGCCUUGAGCCUAAGCUGCGGGAGAGGGUGUGUGUGGGGGUAGCAUGUGAAGUGACAAAUGUUCUUAGGAAAGAGUUGCAGCACCCAGACCACAGCCUGGUGAUUCUGUCCUUCCAGUAGGUCAAGAUCAUGGCUUUGUCACCAGACUCCUAGAUCUUCCUGGAUAGUGACUUCAAGACCAUCCUAGAGCACUUCCUGACCAUGGCCCCAGGGAGACAGGGAUGUGCUCAGGGAUCACGAGUUCCCUGUUAGAACUGAGAACAGCCUGCAUUGUUUUUUCAGGCUUUGCUAUAUGGGAAAGAGCAGAAAACAGCUAGGACCCAGGUCCACUUCUGUAAAAUAUUACAAUUAAGCCUAUGCAUGUUUAGCUUCAAAUGAAUGAGACUCGAACUAUAGUUUUUAUUUAUUAAGCUCUGCACAGUUAGUGGGGGAUCACCCCCAGUCUAAAUCUUUAUCACUUGCCUGACAACCUCCUCAUCUGUGCUCCCCAAAUACUUGCUGUUUGAAACUCUGGGUUCAUUUCUGACUCAGCAGUCUGGCGUCUUGGGAAGACAUCACAACUAAUGGAGACCUCCCGUUCUCUCCAUCUUCUCUGCAUUCCUUUUCUUUCUCCCUCUUCCCAACUUGUGACCCCCAUCUCAGUAACACAAACUCUCUCUAUUCCCCCAGUAAUUGGCUGUCAGCAGUUUCGUUUAACCUGUGGUUUUUCAUUGGGGAGCAAGGUUUAUGCAACAAAGGCUGGUGGUAUACGUGAGAAUCCACUCAUCUCGAAGCAACCAGACCUUGGGGCACACAAUUCAGCAUCUGAAUAUAAGUAGCGGCAGACCAACCCCUUGCAUGUUUCCAUAUGGUCACACUCUUCCAAACGUUAGUAGUUUCCCCUUCUAGUAGGUUGGUCCCAUCUUUUCUCCAAUAUCUGUGGAGAGAACAUCGUGUGUGUGUGUGUGUGUGUGUGUGUGUGUGUGUGUGUGUGUGUGUGUGUGCAUGCUGAAUCUACAUUAGAAUGUAAAUUCCCUUAAAACAUGACUUCACAUGUGUACCACCGUAUAACCAGUACCUACCUAUCAGAGUACCUGUCCUACAGCAGGCACUCAGUAAGCAUAUUGAGUGAAUUCACUAGAGUUUCAUGGAAGAAAUAAGCCCUAGCACCCUGUCCUCCACCAUAUGAAGUAUCUUCUCUCCUAUGCAUCAAGAAUGACGCUGACUACGCACCUUGGAGGGACGGAGAACACAGUCUCUUUAAGUAAUGUCUGUGCACUUUGAUUCAGAGAAGGAAAGUCUGAGUUCUCGGGCAAAUGUACAGUUGAAGAGUCAUCCUCCUCUACAGCCUGUUUGGACUACCCGACCCACGCUUUUCCCUCCACUAAACAGUUCAGGGAUGGUAAUGGUUGAGCCCAAAGCUCCUGCUCCUAGUGGAUGUCCAGUCGUCCCUGGAAGGUGGCUUGUGGGACCUAACAGCUCUGUCAGCAGAUCUGGCCUUUUAAAGUUCUUAUGAAAGAGGACGUGCAUGAUUGAGGCCACAGUCUGGGUGCUGUCUGGUACUGAUAAGGCUGCCUGGGAACACCCUGUCCUACCCCUGCCCCAAACCAAAGGAUCUUUGAGAGGCAGCCAAGCAUGUGAGCCCAGCUAAGCAGGCCUAAGUGCAUUAUCUUGUCUAAGCAAAGCAUGAGAAGUAAAUUAAGAUCCUCGCUGACAUCACCGACUUAAUGUGUAAGAAAAGAAAAAGAAAACAAGCAACCCCCUCCCCCCUGCUUUUACCUAAUGCAUGACCACUGCCCUAAAGAAGAUCCCCUCCCUUCCCAUAAAAUUGUAUUUAACCUUAAGAAAAAAAAAGAUCUCUUCUCUUCUGCCAUCUCAUUCUGUAAAGAGUCUUUUAGAUCAUCUUUCUCUGGUCAUUUCUAAACCAUUCACUAGAAGGGGGGAUGGCAUCACCUUAACUAACUUAGACCCAUAAGAUCUGUGCAUGGCAAAGAACUUCACAGCUAGCAGGGGCACUGAGAGAGAAGACUACUGCAUUAAAUGUUUCUAUUGUCGGACCGAUGCCUCAGACAUCCUCCGGCAGCUGCAGUGGCCAAAUGGCUUAAAGAAAAUAAAAAGACGCCACACGACUUGCUGUUUCCAGAAAGCGCUGCUUCAUCAUCACUCCUGCACGCCAUGUGUGUGUGAGUCACACAGAUGAGACAUGCUGGAAACCACGGAAGAUCCCACAGCCGGGUAAACAUGACAAGCUGUGAGCGGAGCCUGAGCCUGGCUGUUGAACGGGUGUCCCUCCAGCUCCAGGGGUAUUCGAGUGACUCCACUGAGAUUGGGGCUGAGCUUUGAAAACAGGUUUAUCAGCGAGACUGGGAAGCAUUCAGAAAGAGGGGGAAAUAGAAACAAGGUCACGGGGGAGCCGGAGUGAGGGCAGUAUGUUAGUUUUCCUCCCGCUCUGUAACAAGUGGACAUAAACUUGGUGGCUUAAAAAAAAUACAAACUGCCCAAUAGUUCGGUAGGUCAGAAGUCUGACAUGCAUCGUGCUGGGCUAACAGUGACUAGCAGGGCUGUGUCGAUCGCUGAAAGCCCUAAUAGGGAAACAAACAAUGGCCUCUGCUCAUGCGCUUGUGCUGACAUCGCUGGCGUCCUCUCUUCCUUCAUCACGGGCAGCAAGAGAGGCUUGAAGUCUUUUCAUGAUGCCAUAUCAGUUCCAUUUCAAAAGACCCAUGUGGCUAGACUGGACCCUGGAUAAGCUGGCAUGAUUUUCCCAUCUCAAAUGUUCAGCCUUAAUAAUGUCUGCAAAAAAAAAAAUGCUUCUGCUACAGAAGGAUACCCUGUUCUCCAGGUAGAUUAGACUGGACAUUAUGGAGUGGGUAAUGCUGCCUAACACAAAAAAGAAAAAAAAAAAAAGCAGAUGGCUCACACUGCCCCAGCUGAGAGACCAAGCAUAGAGAGGGAGGCAGAGGUCAUCUCUAGAUUUGUGACAAUUCUAGGUCUAAUGUUCUUGAAUAAUGGAACUUUUUUUUCUGGGUUCUCAACUCAUAAUCAUUUCUUCCCACAGAUCUUACCCACUAGCCAAGAGCAUCUUCAACCCCUAAAGGAGAGCAGUGCAUCCCUGUUCUAGCUUGGUGAUUUUACUACCAUCUCUGUUAGGCUAGGAUAUGCUUUGCUGUGACAAUCAGUGAUCCCCAACUCCCAAAUGCUUAAGACAGUUUCCUCUUGAUCAUCCUGCCUGUUCACCAGAGGUUGGCCAAGGAGCCCUUCCCCAAAUCCCCAAUCCCCUCACUUCAGAGCUCAGACUCACAGGAAAAUUGGUAACUUAAACCUUUCCAGAUUCCACACAGAAAGAAUGAAAAUUUUAAAUGGUUUCACACCAGACAUUACAAGCCCCAGCCUAAAGGAGACAAAAGUCCACUCUACUCCGGUUCAUUGACCCAAGCUCUUUGUGCAAGGCCACCUGCACAGACCAUCAGGCAGAGGAGCCCACCAGUGACUACUAGUAAAGGGAGGGAAAUUUGUGAGUUGACAGACAGCUACUUCAGGUUUGCAAGAGCUGUACUGAUAUGCUUCAAUAUCUUCUGUGCAGAGUCAUGGAGAUCUUUUGACUGUAGCCAAUCAGACAUCGAGGCUCUCUUACUCUUGCUUCCCACUGUCCCACAGCCAUCGACUGACCUCGCUUGCUACACCGCCAUCUCUGUUACUACCAGGCAACAAAAUGGACUCUGGUGUUUCCAAAAUUUAUUUCACUGUGCUUGUUAGAAAUCCACUUUUCAUUCAGAACAAAUAUAAAUCAAAUACACACCUUUACAUGUGUAUACAUACCUAUACAUGCGUAUACACACGUGUGCACAUGAACUGAAGACAAAGUUCACUCAUAUUUACUAUCCCUCCCUCUUCACUGGCGUGAUCAUACCCCAGUGCCUUGGCUUCAUGAACUACUUAGCUUGUUGACCAAGAGCCCCUGAUAUUUAGGAAGACGCUCCUUUUUCUCCUGCCAGCCCUCUUGGUUUUCCUCUUGGGUUUCUUUCGUUCAUCCCUUCAUCAUUAAUCAAAACUUUAUAAAGAUCUUGUCACUCGAGGCAAGAUGAGCUAGAGGCUGAAAUUACAAAGAUGGGUAAAACAGAGCCUGUGUUCUUCAAGAGUUUAUAGAUUAGAAGAGACUGACAUACAAACAAGGAGUUGUUGUGGCAUGAGAGACAUUCUGUAAUUAAAGAAUGGAAAUAUUUUCAUGAGAAUUCAGAGGGAAAGCAACAUAUUCUACUUAAAAACACCAAGAGAUCCCUUCCUGGGAUGUCUCUAAGCCUCCUCACCUCCUGUUCAGCUGCUCAGUUUGCCCUCCCUCGCCUUCUGCGCCAAUGUAUUAACUGUUGCCAGGCCGAUAGGUGCCAAAGUUAACACCCUCGAUGUGCUAUCUCUUCUUGUCCCAAGAUGGAGCUGAUAAUGGCAUUGCCACCACAGUGGGCAGCGCUGGCACAUGUAGACUGCUGUCCAUGCGCGGGACGGCAGGUGAAAUAUAAGACCAGAGUCUGUGGAUGGGCAAUGAAAAAUGGAGGCAAGGCUGAGCAUUUCAGAGAGAGAGGGCAGGGGACAGACAGACAGAAGGACAGAGAAGAUGGAGGAAGAAGAUGAACCAGAUCCACGUGGCUUGAAAUAGCCACAGGUGGCAAUGAAUAUCAUAGAAGGGAUAGAAUAAUACAGGACAAUUUGUCCAAUCUAGGUGGGCAGCUCGUAUCCAUACCAAUUGGCUCUGAGUUCAUCGUGUGAGGGUUUUGUGAGAAUUUACUGAUAUAAAUCUGACCGAUAGAUUACAAGCCUCUAGAGUUUUGAUUUUACUGGGUUACGGGGAAUUGUGAUAGCUUUCCACAGGAUGACUGGGAAUGUGAGCGGGUUCCUCCCAGAGAAGUUGGGCAGAUGCCUCAUGGGGUUCACCACGGGGCAGAGAGACCACCAGGGCUGGAGAGUAGCCAGCCAUAGCGUGGGUUGGAUUGUCUCAGUGGGCAACGCUGGGACACCCUUAAAGUUCUUGCACAUGAUGUUGACAUUGGGCUGGGCAGUCUUUCCAUCUCUUGUUUUCCAAUGGUUAAUCGAUCCUGUUAGUCUUUGACUCUAACCUCAAUCCUACUACGUCAAGAAUCUUCCUCACGUUGUUUCAGCCUAGCCUAUGCUCUUACAAAAGCCCUAUAACAGUUUUCUUCAAAUUUCAUUUUGUACAUUCUUUUAAUCUAUUUCUAAAACUAAUCUUUGUGCAGUAUACAGAAUCUUUAAUGUACAUCUAAAAAUGUUCCUUCUAAGUUUAAUUUUCUAUGUAUUUUACAGUCCUAUUGGCUCAGAAUUUUUUUAAAUGUUAGACAUAUAUACUUAGAUAUUCAAUUUAUACAGGAUAUCAACUAUACAUUUGGCAAAUCCGUUUCUCAUUGUAAACCAAUCAUCAAAGCCAGAUUAUUUUCUGUCGGAAAGUCUGACUUCUAUUUUUCAGUUCAGAUGAGCAUUUGAAUGUCCGCCCUGAAGACAACGAUCUCACUUGUCAACCCUAAUUCACAGAUGGCUGGCUGGGUGGGUGCAGAGGCAUGUCUUGGCCUUGCCAAGAGUUUACCUUUGAAAUGACAAAGGAGCAGCCACCAUCCGUGCUUCCUGAUGGCAUCUGUGCUGCCUUGGGAGCAAGGCAUCCUCUGACUGCCUCUGCUUUUGCUGCCUUGGCGCAAUCCACAUUAAUAAACUUUUAAGUUGGAAGGGAGAUGAUUCUUCACCCCGGGGGAUUUAAAAGACAGUGGAAGAAUUGGAUAACCACAGGCUUGACAUAUUAAUUAGGUAAGGACAGUCAGAACUGAGAAUCUAGAAAUGUGUUCCCCUAAAAUUAACCAAGGGAUUCAUAGAAAGCCGUUGGUUUCCCUCCCAAGAGCCAGCAUUCCGUUUGUCCUGAAGACCCCAUGUGGAGUCCAUGGGAACCCAAAGUCUACCUCCACAUGUAGAUGGGCGUGGGAACAAUCGAGCUUACCAGCUCUCUGGUACACAGUUCAGUUUUAAGCUAUUCCCUUGAGAUCAGCAACUCAGCUCCCCUCAGCUCAACAGCACGAAGACCCAAGUUGAUCCCCAGAACUCACAUGAAAGGCCGACACGGGCGGUACAGGCUUAUAAUUCUAUCCCUGGAGACAUGGGGACAAGGAGGAUCCAUGUGGCUCAUUGGCCAAGUUGCCUAGUCUAAUCCAUAAGGGGCAGGUCCAAGUAAGCGAGUAAGAGAUCCUAUCUCCAAAACACAUGAAAGAUGGCUUUUAUGAGUAACUAAACUCUGCCCUCCAUAUGUAAAAAGAAAGAGAGAGAGACAGAGACAGAGACAGAGACAGACAGAGAGACAGAGACAGAGAGAGGAAGAAGGAGGGAGGGACGGAGGG